ACCGAGAAGUCGUCCGUGCAAAUCGAACCAUUUUGAUACCAAAUAGCUAGCCUCUCCAUUCAAACUAAACAAACCA
rnacentral:tRNA from 1 species